CUAGAAUGGAUUAUUGCAAGGAACUCUUCACGAGGCGAUCAAACGCUAAGACUGUCAGAUAUGCUGCACUUUCUAGCCUCCAACGUGUUGUCUCAGUGAAACAUACAUAAACCAUUUAACUUUGCCUGCCUCGUGUGGAGGAGAACAUGCCACAACAAGAGGACACUCCAUCAGACCCCAUCCAAUUCCCCAGAAGAGAUGCAUUUCUGAUUGCUGUGAUGGAAACAUUCCAGAGAAUCUUCAGGCACAGGAUAAUGUACUUCCAUGUCAGGCUGGAGCUGGACAAUAUUUUUCCUUAGAUACUCAGUGAUCCCUAGCUGCUGGAGUUCU